rnacentral:rRNA from 1 species
UACGUAGGGGGCUAGCGUUGUCCGGAAUCAUUGGGCGUAAAGAGCGUGUAGGCGGUCCGGUAAGUCCGUUGUGAAAGUCAGGGGCUCAACCCUUGAAUGCCGGCGGAUACUGUCGGGCUAGAGUCCGGAAGAGGCGAGUGGAAUUCCCGGUGUAGCGGUGAAAUGCGCAGAUAUCGGGAGGAACACCUAUGGCGAAGGCAGCUCUCUGGGACGGUACUGACGCUGAGACGCGAAAGCGUGGGGAGCGAACAGG